UAUUAUAGUCUUCAAGGCUCAGUAAGAGCCUCUCUCAGGAUGGUGUU
rnacentral:tRNA from 1 species